UACGUAGGGCGCAAGCGUUGUCCGGAAUUAUUGGGCGUAAAGAGCUCGUAGGCGGUUUGUCGCGUCUGUCGUGAAAGCCCACAGCUUAACUGUGGGUCUGCGGUGGAUACGGGCAGACUAGAGGCAGGUAGGGGAGAACGGAAUUCCCGGUGUAGCGGUGAAAUGCGCAGAUAUCAGGAGGAACACCAGUGGCGAAGGCGGUGCUCUGGGCCGGUACUGACGCUGAGGAGCGAAAGCGUGGGGAGCAAACAGG
rnacentral:rRNA from 1 species